CCCAAAUGCACAGGUGACUUUUAAGUCACCCAGACUUGGCCAAGGGAAGGGUCGCCUGCUAGCAUUGGGGUUGUGGCUCCCACCACAGACGCUCCACUUCCCUGGGAACAUCGAUGACAGAGCUUCAUGUUGCUUUAAAGAGCUCACACAAAAAGAUGUUUUCUUUAGCCCUGACUGUACCUAACAGAUCACAAAGCUCAACCCCCCAGAGCCCGGAAACCAGGGCAGGAGGAGCUCCUAGUAAAAGGUAAUCUGUUCUCUACCUUCUCAGUGAAGAACCUCUCAGCUCCUGCUCCAGAAGCCUCUGUCACUGGCGUCCCUCCUCCGCCCUCGGGAAGGAAACCUCCUUUGUGGACCAGGCUGAGCACCGUGGUGCCUGGACAAGCCCCAAUGAGGUGCCUCGGAGCAGCUUUCUAGCUAAAGGGCCCAGCCGCCUCUGUGGAAUCGCGCAUGUGUGAAUCCGGACGGAAGCAGGCAUAUGGGGCACAGCCGGCAGUAUCAGCAGAGGUUAGGCUGGCACAGAGGAAGGACACCGCUUGAAUUAGGUCACGCCCUGGAUGCAGCUCUCUGCUGCUGAAGACAGGCCCUGGCAGUCACUUCCCGCCCCCAAGGAGGAGCAAUCUGCUCUGGAAUCUGGCCUCACAGGAGGAGGAGGCAGGGACGCAGAGCAGGGGGAGGCCACCCUGCUCCCUUCAAGUGGACCUUGGGGUCUGUUACUUCAUAGAAAGACGCGUUCAGUUCCCUUAUGGCACAGACGGAGGAUGCAGGGAGCACAGAUGCACAUGGACGCUCAGCUCGUUCUGAAAGGAAAAAAGACUCCACUCCAUUCGAGUUCAGAAAGUAAAUUCUCUGCGCCUGUAAUAUUUGUCAGCUCUGUGCAUUCCUGCGCUCUUCAAGGUCACUCCACUUCUGCAGUUCUGGGAUUCUGUCUGUUAAAUUUUGUUUCACUUUAGGUGUCAUUCAAAUAAAAGGGCAGAAAAGCCAAAGACCCACUUAAGAAAGGGAAAAAGGCUUGUGUGUGUGUGUGUGUAACCAGCAUCCAGUAGCAGAAGAAUGAAGCUAACUGUGCUUUUAUUUUCUUUCCCUUUUAUCAUUAGAGCUUAUUAAAAUUAAAGCCCUUCCAAAGUUUCCCCAAUUCAAAUCCAUACCAUUUAAAGGUAAACCAGUGCCAGAAUCAUGGGUCUAGAAAUGCUCACAUGUUCUCAUUCUAUGCAGUCAGACAGAGGUCCUGUUGGUGUGCGAUAACCUCUGGGCCCUGAGACCAGUCUAUGCAGGGGUAAAACAUCAGCGGGCAGGGAGACCCCAGCAUUUUUCUUUUUCCUAGAAACAAAUUUUAACUGAUCUCUAGAUACAAAUUUUAGCAAAUUCACGAGAAGUUGAGAUUCAAGACUAAGCCAAAUGCAGGACAAAGAUCACAGAGGUCCCUCUGUCAUGUAGGAGCGGGGAAAGAAGCAGGACACCUGCUCUAAAAUGACCAGCAAUUAUUUAGUUCUGUGGAGUUUUCGUUGGAUUUCAGGGAUGAAUGUGCGGC
rnacentral:lncRNA from 1 species